rnacentral:rRNA from 1 species
AUACGGAGGGUGCAAGCGUUACUCGGAAUCACUGGGCGUAAAGCGCGCGCAGGCGGUCUUUUAAGUUGGAUGUGAAAGCCUACGGCUCAACCGUAGAACUGCAUCCAAAACUAUUAGACUAGAGUGUGGGAGAGGAAGAUGGAAUUAGUUGUGUAGGGGUAAAAUCCGUAGAGAUAACUAGGAAUACCAAAAGCGAAGGCAAUCUUCUGGAACACUACUGACGCUGAGGCGUGAAAGCGUGGGGAGCAAACAGGAUUAGAAACCCUAGUAGUCC